GACGGAGGGUGCAAACGUUGUUCGGAAUUACUGGGCGUAAAGCGCGUGUAGGCGGCUUUGCAAGUCGGAUGUGAAAUCCCACGGCUCAACCGUGGAAGUGCAUUCGAAACUGCAAGGCUAGAGUCCUGGAGAGGAAGGUGGAAUGCUUGGUGUAGAGGUGAAAUUCGUAGAUAUCAAGCGGAACACCGGUGGCGAAGGCGGCCUUCUGGACAGUGACUGACGCUGAGACGCGAAAGCGUGGGGAGCAAACAGG
rnacentral:rRNA from 1 species